CCCCCCCCACCCUCAAUUCACCUUUACAGGGUAUAGCUGCAGCUGAGGAGACAGAGAAACUCUGUUGUUAUAAAACAAGCCACCGAUCUGCACACAUCGGCAAAAUGACAUGGCAUUGAUGCAUGUAAGAUGUUGGACAUAGAAUGCCAUGCAUUGAGAGACCAGACACACACACACACACAUACACGUGAAGGGUUGAAGCAUGUUUACAUCUUUAGGUCAAUGCCAAUACACUGACUUGAAAUGUAACAAUAUUUCAAACUUGAAAUUAACAUUAAAACUAUUUUUUUUGUUUCACAUCUGAUCACAGAACUCCAUGCAACCUGGUAGAUAGUAAUGCUAUGAGGAAACAAGAAACAAUGAAUUGCUAUUUUUGUUUUAACAUUUACUCAUUUCAAAUUAUAUUUCCGACGGAUUUAUGUUAUUAGCACCUAAUCUCUUAGUGAUGUUCUGUGUAUGGACUGAUGUUCUGUGUAUGGACUGAUGUUCUGAUGUUCUGUGUAUGUUCUGAGGCGGUUUCAGAUCAAAAUCAAAAGGAGUGACGUACUGAACGUAACAAAAGAUUACAAAUCACAUCAUUUCAGAUUUUUCAAUCAAUCAAUCGAAUAAAAUAAUAAGUUAAAUAAAUAAAUAACCGGCUAAGAUAUUAAAGGCUUGAUGGAGUAUUACCAAGUUCGACAUUCAGCGCUGCAUGAGACAUCCUGUUUGACCACCGUGACUCCAACCCAAAUCUGUGUCACACCACUGUUCUAUAUUAUGGCACUGCGUCACACUCCCUCUGAAGGUGAAAUCAACUGAACAGAGUUGGUCCUUCCAAAUUGACAAAGUACUAAUUGAUUGUACGGACCAUUACGCUCUGGUUAUCAUUGAGCUAAACCGGUGCCAGUCUAGGCAAGUCUCAGUAGCAUUCUGUUGUUGUCUGUCCAAUCAGCCUGCUAAUGCUAAUUAGCCUGCUAAUGCUAAUCAGCCUGCUAAUGCUAAUUAGCGUGGUAAUGCUAAUUAGCGUGCUAAUGCUAAUUAUCAUGCUAAUAAGUUAAAGAGCAAAAACAAUGCAUUUGCAGCUGCAGAAACUACACCAAAGAACUGAAAAGGCAGUUUAAAAUGGUGGAGAAGGGUGGAGGGAUUAGUGUCUAACAUCAGAUCUGACAAUCAAGGGUGGGGCUUAAGGGGUCAUGGGCAAUGACCUCAGAACAAGGGUGGAGCUUAAGGGAUCAUGGGCAAUGACCUCAGAACAAGGGUGGAGCUUAAGGGGUCAUGGGCAAUAACCUCAGAAGAACAUAGCCUGACCAGGGUCACUCUUACCUGUGUGAUGUCACAGGUGUGAUGUCACACGUGUGAUGUCAGGUCAGUAUUGCAUAUUCUGCUCCGCUCUUGGUAAAUGGGGUUACAACAAUGCCUUUAGGGGUUGCCAUGGUGACGACUUCAUGGAGGGGACAGGUACAGUACUAUUCUGAACACACGGCAACGAGGUGGGGCAUGGGGCGUGAGCGGGUCGUCAGGGGAAGGGGAGGGUUGCCAUGGUGGCUGUCGCUAUAACGGCUGUUUGUAUUUAGUCAUUCCCAGCUGCCGGUCUGUGACGUCUGAUGGGAGUAAAGGCUUGUGAGGGCUGGGACGAUGUGAGGAGGGGAGAUCUGAGGGGUUGUUACUAUGGCGAUGCCUACUAGGCUAGGCUAAGCUUGAGGGGGUUGUUAUUGUACUGAUCCCACAGAAGCAUGUCAUGGCUGACUUCCUGUCUCCUUCCUGUCUGCCCCACCCAUCAUGGCUGACUCCUUCCUGUCUGCCCCACCCAUCAUGGCUGACUCCUGACUCCUUCCUGUCUGCCCCACCCAUCAUGGCUGACUCCUGACUCCUUCCUGUCUGCCCCACCCAUCAUGGCUGACUCCUGACUACUUCCUGUCUGCCCCACCCAUCAUGGCUGACUCCUGACUCCUUCCUGUCCGCCCCACCCAUCAUGGCCAUGGCUGACUCCUGACUCCUUCCUGUCUGCCCCACCCAUCAUGGCUAUGCUUGCUCUCUACCCCUGUCCUGCUGACAAACAUGAGUGACUUUGUGCAAGAUGGCUGCAGUGCAUAUCCGUGGCUGUUGUGUAACAUCUGGAGGUCAUUGCCAUAGUGAUGAUGACCUCUGAGGCCUAGUUCAGCUUGGUCGUUGGUUGUGUUUGGGGUUUUAGUUUUUGUUGGCGGCUCAGCAGCGCGGUCUGGUGUUUCACGUCUUCCUUUCCCGGGAGGUAGAUGUCUACUUCUCCUCAGGUGAGAUGGUUCUUCCUUCCCGGGAGGUAGAUGUUUACUUCCUCAGGUGAGAUGGUUCUUCCUUCCCGGGAGGUAGAUGUCUACUUUCCUCAGGUGUUUCACGUCUUCCUUCCCGGGAGGUAGAUGUCUACUUCUCCUCAGGUGAGAUGGUUCUUCCUUCCCGGGAGGUAGAUGUUUACUUCCUCAGGUGAGAUGGUUCUUCCUUCCCGGGAGGUAGAUGUCUACUUUCCUCAGGUGAGAUGGUUCUUACCUGAGCAGUGGAGAGGGUGUGGGUCUG
ensembl:lncRNA